GAGAGAGGCACGAAGCACCAAGUACUGCUAAUUCUUGUUACCCAAGUUAAACUCCUGGGCUCACUCG
rnacentral:tRNA from 1 species